rnacentral:rRNA from 1 species
UACAGAGGGGGCAAGCGUUGUUCGGAAUUACUGGGCGUAAAGGGCGCGUAGGCGGCCCGCUAAGUCGAACGUGAAAUCCCCGAGCUCAACUCGGGAACUGCGUCCGAGACUGGCGGGCUUGAAUCCGGGAGAGGGAUGCGGAAUUCCAGGUGUAGCGGUGAAAUGCGUAGAUAUCUGGAGGAAUACCGGUGGCGAAGGCGGCAUCCUGGACCGACAUUGACGCUGAGGAGCGAAAGCUAGGGGAGCAAACGGG